rnacentral:lncRNA from 11 species
AAGUCAAAUAUGUUUGGCUUGAAUUCAGAUUCUUAUACAAUGCACUUCUCUUUUUUUCAGAGCAUCGAUGUGGGCGCAGAGCUGAUUCGCUUGGGCUACGCGGUGCCAAGCCCGCAGGAGAGCGAUGGCGGCGGCAUGGGAGACGGACGGCACCAGCUGAGCAAAGAGGGGAACAUGAUGGAGGCCUCCCUGGAAAACCUGUCCGAGAUGCAGAAAACUCCCGAUGAGAUGCCUCUCUCCUUGUCCUGUGUCAGCCUUCCAGAUGUGGCCUCUGUGUCGGAGAGCGGGGAUUUCGGAGACCCCUCAUUGACUCCUUUGGCUUCAGGAAUGACGGGCGUUGCAUCUGAAACAGAGCCAGUGGCAAAGCAGAAGCAUCCGCACAUCCCAUGACUGGCCCAGAAGAACAUCUCACUGUCUUGGUGGGCACCUGCUUUUGACACGCAUCUACUUCAGAGCAGGAUGCAACAGAUGCAAGAAGCCAGUGCUCCACGGCAAGCUUAGUGGGGCAGAUUUUCAUUGGGUUCCAGUUUGGUCUCCCUCAGCUUGAUGAAUGUCUUGCAUGUGCCGCCGUUUUGGAUUUGUUUGUUUGUUUGUUGAAUCACGAGGGAUACGAGGCCCUCAGGCUUUUUCCAUUGAGAUGUCCAUUGAAGCAAAGAUGCUGCGGCAAGUUGGUUCUUUUUUUCCCUCUUGAUGGUGACCCCCUUUACUAAAGGAGAGGCAAAUAUGGCUGCCUGACAGUUUCCUGCCAAUGGUUGGGAAGAUUAAAAGGUGGAAGUCGGUUACCUUUCCCAGGUUUUAUGUUUUCACAGAGGAGAGAAAGGAAAGUGUUUUCCUUUUGUGUAAAUAAAGUUGUAUUAUUAUUAUUUAUUGUUUAAUGUUCACCACGGUUGCCUGACAGAUGGAUUUUCGAAUUGCACAUUUCUGGGUGGAAGAUGUAAUAAUUUAAGUCUUACUACCCAGCAUCUAUAACAAUAAAUUCUGACGAUUAUUCAGACUACAACAAUUUCCAUGUGAACGAAGAUACGGUUUUGAAAUUUUGGCCAAGCAUUAUCCUUGCCCAGGACAUAAUACUGAUAAAUACACACAAAUGUCUAUACUAGACAAUGUCAAAGAGAUAAACACUAUAAAGGUUCAAAACAUAAAAAGAGAUGUGUAUAUUAGAGCAACUUGCAAAGGCCACAGAAAUAGUCAGUCGUCUCUGAGUAU